GGCUCUGGAAUGCCGAAGUCCACCCCUCCUGUUCCUUCUCCCUUCUCUGGGCUCAAUAGAGAUUGAACACCUCUUUCUUUUCAAGCAGAGGUCAUUUGAAAGAGGAAAGGAUAAGUCAGUUUUUUCUGUAGCUUAACAUGUUGAUCAAGGCUCUCCCUGAUACUGAGAUCAUUGCAACCUGUAAGAGGCAUUGAUCAUUGACUUAAAGGAGUUUACAAAGGAAUUAAACAUCUUUGAUCUCUAAGAUUAUUUAAAUCUAAUGUGGUAAACAUAGGUGAUCCUGCUUUUUAUUUGUAGUGGUGGUAGAUUUUAAUGGGCAUGUUAGCAUCUGCUAACCAACAGUUGAUGUGUUUAUUAUUUUGAAUGUGACUGUGAUGUCAGGACCAUAAGUUACCUUUGGUGUUAUUCAAAUGUGUUAGUUUCUCUUAAGCAUAGCUGUUUCCAGUACUUCUUGCCUGGAACUAACUCAUUUUUCAUUUACAGCUGAUGAUACUAACUAGACCAGUUUAUCA
rnacentral:lncRNA from 1 species